ACUUAAGCAUAUCAAUAAGCGGAGGAAAAGAAACCAACAGGGAUUGCCCCUAGUAACGGCGAGUGAAGCGGCAACAGCUCAAAUUUGAAAUCUGGCGUCUUUGGCGUCCGAGUUGUAAUUUGCAGAGGGCGCUUUGGCAUUGGCAGCGGUCCAAGUUCCUUGGAACAGGACGUCACAGAGGGUGAGAAUCCCGUACGUGGUCGCUAGCCUUUACCGUGUAAAGCCCCUUCGACGAGUCGAGUUGUUUGGGAAUGCAGCUCUAAAUGGGAGGUAAAUUUCUUCUAAAGCUAAAUACUGGCCAGAGACCGAUAGCGCACAAGUAGAGUGAUCGAAAGAUGAAAAGCACUUUGGAAAGAGAGUUAAAAAGCACGUGAAAUUGUUGAAAGGGAAGCGCUUGCAGCCAGACUUGCCUGUAGUUGCUCAUCCGGGUUUUUACCCGGUGCACUCUUCUAUAGGCAGGCCAGCAUCAGUUUGGGCGGUUGGAUAAAGGUCUCUGUCACGUACCUCCUCUCGGGGAGAACUUAUAGGGGAGACGUAAUGCAACCAGCCUGGACUGAGGUCCGCGCAUCUGCUAGGAUGCUGGCGUAAUGGCUGUAAGCGGCCCGUCUUGAAACACGGACCAAGGAGUCUAACAUCUAUGCGAGUGUUUGGGUGUCAAGCCCGAGCGCGUAAUGAAAGUGAACGGAGGUGGGAACCUUUCGGGGUGCACCAUCGACCGAUCCUGAUGUCUUCGGAUGGAUUUGAGUAAGAGCAUAGCUGUUGGGACCCGAAAGAUGGUGAACUAUGCUUGAAUAGGGUGAAGCCAGAGGAAACUCUGGUGGAGGCUCGCAGCGGUUCUGACGUGCAAAUCGAUCGUCAAAUUUGGGCAUAGGGGCGAAAGACUAAUCGAACUAUCUAGUAGCUGGGUUCCUGCGAAG
rnacentral:rRNA from 1 species